AUAGAUAAUUAGGGCAUGGAAGACUCCACUAAAUUUUGGAGGUGAUCCGGAUCGGUGGAUGUCAUAAAUCUCUGAUUGCUCUCGUUUUCUCUGCCACACUUCUCAAAUCUCGAGUAAGCAAAGCAGUGUAAGGUCUUUUUCUGCUCCUCAAUGGACCAAUUUACAACGUUGUAGUUUGGCUUGUUUCUUUUGGCCCUUUAAGUCUGUUGUUGCUUGGGUCCAGGAUCAGUAGUUUGGUGAUCUGGUGGGUUAUCCAGCUGAGUCCUGGCGGAGGAGAGACAUAUCCCUGCUGCACUGGUGGAAGUUGUAUGAAUUAUCAUGUGUCUGUUCAGACUGCUCUUAUGUCUAAAUCUCUGACCACAUUCAGAACAGCCAAAUUGUUUUUGCCUUGUAUGAAUUAUCAUGUGUGUAUUCAGGCUGCUCUUGCGUCCAAAUCUCUUACCACACUCAGAACAGCCAAACUGUUUUUGUCCUGUGUGAAUUAUCAUGUGUGUGUUUAGGUUGUUCUUUCGUCCAAAUCUUUGACCACACACAGAACAGCCAAAUUGUUUUUGCCCUGUAUGAAUUAGCAUGUGUGUGUUCAUGUCACUCUUUUGUCCAAAUCUUUUACCACAUUCAGAACAGCCAAAUUGUUUUUGUCCUGUAUGGAUUAUCAUAUGCAUGUUCAGCCUGCUCUUUAGUCCAAAUGUUUUACCACACUCAGAACAGCCAAAUUGUUUUUGUCCUGUAUGAAUUAACAUGUGUGUGUUCAGCCUGCUCUUUACUCCAAAUCUUUGACCACACUCAGAACAGCCGAAUUGUUUUUGUCCUGUAUGAAUUAUCAUGUGUAUGUUGAGGCUAUUCUUUUGCCCAAAUCUUUUACCACACUCUGAACA